GAUCAAAUGGUUCUUUAUUCUCUAAGCAUUAAGGUUGAAGAAGGGUGUCAGUUGAAUACGGUGGAUGAAAUUGCUGCAGCUGUGAAUCAAAUUCUGCUGUUUAUUCAAGAGGAAGCUGCUUUAAAUUGACACUUUUUUG